rnacentral:rRNA from 1 species
AUUGAACGCUGGCGGCAGGCCUAACACAUGCAAGUCGAACGAGUGGCGGACGGGUGAGUAAUGACUGGGAAACUGCCUGAGGGAGGGGGAUAGCUACUGGAAACGGUAGCUAAUACCGCCUACCAUCGGAUGUGCCCAGAUGGGAUUAGCUAGUAGUUGGGGUAAAGGCUCACCUAGGCCACGACCCUGAGCUGGUUUGAGAGGAUGACCGGCCACACUGGAACUGAGACACGGUCCAGACUCCUACGGGAGGCAGCAGUGGGGAAUAUUGGACAAUGGGCGCAAGCCUGAUCCAGCCAUGCCGCGUGUAUGAAGAAGGCCUUCGGUUUGUAAAGUACUUUCAGCGGGGAGGCGUUACCCGCAGAAGAAGCACCGGCUAACUCCGUGCCAGCAGCCGCGGUAAUAC